rnacentral:rRNA from 1 species
CGAAAGGCGUAAUCGAUGGGAAACGGUUAAUAUUCCCGUACUUCUGACUAUUGCGAUGGGGGGACGAGAAGGCUAGGUGGGCCAGGCGACGGUUGUCCUGGUUCAAGUGCGUAGGCUUGAGAGUUAGGUAAAUCCGGCUCUCUCUAAGGCUGAGACACGACGUCGAGCUACUACGGUAGUGAAGUCAUUGAUGCCAUGCUUCCAGGAAAAGCCUCUAAGCUUCAGAUAGUCAGGAAUCGUACCCCAAACCGACACAGGUGGUCGGGUAGAGAAUACCAAGGCGCUUGAGAGAACUCGGGUGAAGGAACUAGGCAAAAAUGGUACCGUAACUUCGGGAGAAGGUACGCUCUUGAUGGUGAAGUCCCUCGCGGAUGGAGCUGACGAGAGUCGCAGAUACCAGGUGGCUGCAACUGUUUAUUAAAACACAGCACUGUGCAAAAUCGCAAGAUGACGUAUACGGUGUGACGCCUGCCCGGUGCCGGAAGGUUAAUUGAUGGGGUUAGCGCAAGCGAAGCUCUUGAUCGAAGCCCCGGUAAACGGCGGCCGUAACUAUAACGGUCCUAAGGUAGCGAAAUUCCUUGUCGGGUAAGUUCCGACCUGCACGAAUGGCGUAAUGAUGGCCACGCUGUCUCCACCCGAGACUCAGUGAAAUUGAAAUCGCUGUGAAGAUGCAGUGUACCCGCGGCUAGACGGAAAGACCCCGUGAACCUUUACUACAGCUUGGCACUGAACAUUGAACCUACAUGUGUAGGAUAGGUGGGAGGCUAUGAAGACGUGACGCCAGUUGCGUUGGAGCCGUCCUUGAAAUACCACCCUUGUAUGUUUGAUGUUCUAACUUAGACCCAUUAUCUGGGUUGAGGACAGUGCCUGGUGGGUAGUUUGACUGGGGCGGUCUCCUCCCAAAGAGUAACGGAGGAGCACGAAGGUGGGCUAAUCACGGUUGGACAUCGUGAGGUUAGUGCAAUGGCAUAAGCCCGCUUAACUGCGAGAAUGACGGUUCGAGCAGGUGCGAAAGCAGGUCAUAGUGAUCCGGUGGUUCUGUAUGGAAGGGCCAUCGCUCAACGGAUAAAAGGUACUCCGGGGAUAACAGGCUGAUACCGCCCAAGAGUUCAUAUCGACGGCGGUGUUUGGCACCUCGAUGUCGGCUCAUCACAUCCUGGGGCUGAAGUCGGUCCCAAGGGUAUGGCUGUUCGCCAUUUAAAGUGGUACGCGAGCUGGGUUUAGAACGUCGUGAGACAGUUCGGUCCCUAUCUGCCGUGGGCGUUGGAAGAUUGAAGGGGGCUGCUCCUAGUACGAGAGGACCGGAGUGGACGAACCUCUGGUGUUCGGGUUGUGUCGCCAGACGCAUUGCCCGGUAGCUAAGUUCGGAAUUGAUAAGCGCUGAAAGCAUCUAAGCGCGAAGCGAGCCCUGAGAUGAGUCUUCCCUGACAGUUUAACUGUCCUAAAGGGUUGUUCGAGACUAGAACGUUGAUAGGCAGGGUGUGUAAGCGUUGUGAGGCGUUGAGCUAACCUGUACUAAUUGCCCGUGAGGCUUAACCAU